rnacentral:misc_RNA from 1 species
GUGAAUCAUCAAAUUUUUGAACGCAAAUUGCACUCUCCGGAUGUCCGGGAGAGUAUGCCUGUUUGCGGGUCAGCCUAAAAAAAAUCGAAAUAGAUGCUGUAUUAUGGUGACUUUCGUCGGAGAUGGGUUAUCUAAAAUCUCGGUUUAAGCGACUUAAAAGUUUUUUUUACGAUUCUAAGAAUGAUUCUAAGAUUUUUCUUGUACGUUUAAGGCAUCGAGUGUCUUAUUAGUCGUGGCCGUCAUAUCGGAGCGGGUCCAUAAUUU